AAUCAACGCUGGCGGCGUGCCUAACACAUGCAAGUCGAACGAGAAAGUGGAGCAAUCCAUGAGUAAAGUGGCGCACGGGUGAGUAACACGUGGGAACAUACCCUUCGGUUCGGAAUAACUCAGGGAAACUUGUGCUAAUACCGGAUACGUCCGCAAGGAGAAAGAUUUAUCGCCGAAGGAUUGGCCCGCGUCUGAUUAGCUUGUUGGUGAGGUAAUGGCUCACCAAGGCGACGAUCAGUAGCUGGUCUGAGAGGAUGAUCAGCCACAUUGGGACUGAGACACGGCCCAAACUCCUACGGGAGGCAGCAGUGGGGAAUAUUGGACAAUGGGCGAAAGCCUGAUCCAGCCAUGCCGCGUGAGUGAUGAAGGCCUUAGGGUUGUAAAGCUCUUUUACCUGGGAAGAUAAUGACGGUACCAGGAGAAUAAGCCCCGGCUAACUUCGUGCCAGCAGCCGCGGUAAUACGAAGGGGGCUAGCGUUGUUCGGAUUUACUGGGCGUAAAGCGCACGUAGGCGGAUCUUUAAGUCAGGGGUGAAAUCCCGAGGCUCAACCUCGGAACUGCCUUUGAUACUGGGGAUCUCGAGUCCGGGAGAGGUGAGUGGAACUGCGAGUGUAGAGGUGAAAUUCGUAGAUAUUCGCAAGAACACCAGUGGCGAAGGCGGCUCACUGGCCCGGUACUGACGCUGAGGUGCGAAAGCGUGGGGAGCAAACAGGAUUAGAUACCCUGGUAGUCCACGCCGUAAACGAUGGAUGCUAGCCGUUAGACAGCUUGCUGUUUAGUGGCGCAGUUAACGCUUUAAGCAUCCCGCCUGGGGAGUACGGUCGCAAGAUUA
rnacentral:rRNA from 1 species